CCUACGGGAGGCAGCAGUGAGGAAUAUUGGUCAAUGGCCGGAAGGCUGAACCAGCCAAGCCGCGUGAAGGACGAAGGUGCCAAGCAUUGUAAACUUCUUUUGUCAAGGGACAAAAUCAGGCUCGAGAGCCUGACCGAGGGUACUUGAAGAAAAAGCAUCGACUAACUCCGUGCCAGCAGCCGCGGUAAUACGGAGGAUGCGAGCGUUAUCCGGAUUUAUUGGGUUUAAGGGGUGCGUAGGCGGGCUGUUAAGUCAGCGGUAAAAGCCCGGGGCUCAACCCCGGCGAGCCGUUGAAACUGGGUGGCUUGAGAUGUCGAGAGGUAUGCGGAAUGCGCAGUGUAGCGGUGAAAUGCUUAGAUAUUGCGCAGAACUCCGAUUGCGAAGGCAGCAUACCGGCGGCGAUCUGACGCUGAGGCACGAAAGCGUGGGUAUCGAACAGGAUUAGAUACCCUUGUAGUC
rnacentral:rRNA from 1 species